CCCUUAGAUGUUCUGGGCCGCACGCGCGCUACACUGAUGCAUUCAACGAGCCUAUCCUUGACCGACAGGUCCGGGUAAUCUUUGAAUCUGCAUCGUGACGGGGAUAGAUUAUUGCAAUUAUUAAUCUUCAACGAGGAAUGCCUAGUAGGCGCAAGUCAUCAGCUUGCGUCGAUUACGUCCCUGCCCUUUGUACACACCGCCCGUCGCUCCUACCGAUUGGGUGUGCUGGUGAAAUGUUCGGAUCGGCCGUUUGUCGCGGUUUCCGCGUCAUGUGGCUGAGAAGUUCAUUAAACCCUCCCACCUAGAGGAAGGAGAAGUGGUAACA
rnacentral:rRNA from 1 species